rnacentral:rRNA from 1 species
GAUAACCUCGGGAAACUGGGUAUAAUACCCGAUAGGUCUCGAUUGCUGGAAUGCAUCGAGAUUUAAAGCUCCGGCGCCUAAGGAUGGGUCUGCGGCCUAUCAGGUAGUAGUGGGUGUAGCGUACCUACUAGCCUACAACGGGUACGGGUUGUGAGAGCAAGAGCCCGGAGAUGGAUUCUGAGACACGAAUCCAGGCCCUACGGGGUGCAGCAGGCGCGAAAACUUUACAAUGCUGGCAACAGCGAUAAGGGAACCUCGAGUGCCAGGUUACAAAUCUGGCUGUCGAGAUGCCUAAAAAGCAUUUCAUAGCAAGGGCCGGGCAAGACCGGUGGCAGCCGCCGCGGUAACACCGGCGGCUCGAGUGGUAACCGUUAUUAUUGGGUCUAAAGGGUCUGUAGCCGGCCGGAUAAGUCUCUUGAGAAAUCUGGCAGCUUAACUGUCAGGCUUUCAGGAGAUACUGUCUGGCUCGAGGCCGGGAGAGGUGAGAGGUACUUCAGGGGUAGGGGUGAAAUCUUGUAAUCCUUGAAGGACCACCAGUGGCGAAGGCGUCUCACCAGAACGGACCUGACGGCAAGGGACGAAAGCUAGGGGCACGAACCGGAUUAGAUACCCGGGUAGUCCUAGCCGUAAACGAUACUCGCUAGGUGUCGGCCACGGUGCGACCGUUGUCGGUGCCGUAGGGAAGCCGUGUAGCGAGCCACCUGGGGAAGUACGGCCGCAAGGCUGAAACUUAAAAGGAAUUUGGCGGGGGAGCACCACAACGGGUGGGAGCUUUGCGGUUUAAAUUGGAAUUCAAACGCCGGAAAUCUUCACCGGGACCGACAGCAAUAUGAAAGGCCGGCUGGAAGGACUUUGCCUGGAUUAGCUGAAAAGGUGGUGCAU